rnacentral:rRNA from 1 species
UACGGAGGGUGCAAGCGUUAUCCGGAUUCACUGGGUUUAAAGGGUGCGUAGGUGGGCAGGUAAGUCAGUGGUGAAAUCCUGUAGCUUAACUAUAGAACUGCCAUUGAUACUAUUUGUCUUGAAUACCCUGGAGGUGAGCGGAAUAUGUCAUGUAGCGGUGAAAUGCUUAGAUAUGACAUAGAACAUCUAUUGCGAAGGCAGCUCACUACGGGAAUAUUGACGCUGAGGCACGAAAGCGUGGGGAUCAAACAGG